GGGGCACCACCAGGAGUGGAGCCUGCGGCUUAUUUUGACUCAACACGGGAAAACUCACCCGGCCCGGACACUGGAAGGAUUGACAGAUUGAGAGCUCUUUCUUGAUUCAGUGGGUGGGGGUGCGUGGCCGUUCUUAGUUGGUGGAGUGAUUUGUCUGGUUAAUUCCGAUAACAAACGAGACUCUAGCCUACUAAAUAGACCGUCGGCUUACAGACUCGGGUGAGACUUCUUAGAGCGACAGGCGGUGAUUCACCCGCACGAAACAGAUCAAUAACAUGUCUGUCAUGCCCUUAUAUGUCCGGGGCCGCACGCGCGCUACACUGAAUUGAUCAGCGUGCUUUUUCAACCUACUCUGUCAAGAGUGGGGAACCCAAUGAACCUUCUUCGUGAUUGGGAUAGGGGAUUGUAAUUAUUCCACCUUGAACGAGGAAUUCCCAGUAAGCGCGAGUCAUAAGCUCGCGUUGAUUACGUCCCUGCCCUUUGUACACACCGCUGUCGCUACUACCGAUUGAAUGUGAA
rnacentral:rRNA from 1 species